CCAGGUUGCCCAGGACAAGGCAUGUCCAACAUAUGCCUAUAAGACAAAUGUGAAAACAUCAAGUUACAGAAGCUAGAUGUGCAUUUACUACACUGGGAUUCAUGGUUCAGCGAAGACAAGCUAUUAGUUGGCUCAAGAAGGGUCCACACAAGUUCUGAAUCACAGUAGGUUCUAUAAUGUUGUGGUGAAGAACACGGAUGCUGGAGACAGACUGAGUUUUAAUUCUAUGCUCUCCAUUCACACCUUAUAACCUUGAGCAAGGAGAGCUUCCUCGAUGUCAACAAUGCAAGAUUUGUGCUGCGGGCAAUUGGAGUAGAAUCAGCUUCCUGAGAGCCAAGUUCUUUGACUUCCCCUAGAAGGAAAGGGUGGGCUCAAUGUCAUCACAAGGGUGCUUAAGAGGGAAAGAGGAAGCCAUGAGGGUCAGAGUCAAAGGAAGACUUGAAGAUACUACACUGCGGACUUUAAAGAUGAAGGAAGGGGCGAAAACCAAGAAUGUGGGAAGCCUCUAGAAGCUAGAGAAGGCAAGGAAACAAAUUUUCCACUAGAGCCUCCAGAAGGAACACAGCCCUGCUGACCCACUGUAAUGUCUGACCUCUAGAUGUGUAAGGGUAGUAAGACUGAAAGUCUCAGAAAGGCACUGUUAAAUUCUUAUUCCUCAACUAUGCAACUCAAAACUGGGGUCCUCAGCAGUGAGCGAGGGGUGAGAGAAGACACUGUAUAAACAUGGCACAUCCUCCUGGAAAGUCAACUUUACUCAAAGGUUCUUACACACAGUGACAGCUAGCAGAGUCUAAAAUGCUGACAUUAUGACUUAGAGAUGUGAUAAAGAGAAACAUCUAUUGCAUUUUCUGUUGGGAACAUGACCUAAUGGUGUGCUACCAUGCAGCUCUUUCCAGCUCCAUGUUCAGUGACUUCAUAUUG
rnacentral:lncRNA from 10 species